rnacentral:rRNA from 1 species
UACGGGGGGGGCAAGCGUUGUUCGGAAUUACUGGGCGUAAAGGGUUUGUAGGUGGCUUGUUAAGUCAGACGUGAAAUCCCUCAGCUUAACUGGGGAACUGCGUCUGAUACUGGCGAGCUUGAGUGCAGGAGAGGAACGCGGAAUUCCAGGUGUAGCGGUGAAAUGCGUAGAUAUCUGGAGGAACACCGGUGGCGAAGGCGGUUCUCUGGGAAUAUCCUGACGCUGAGGAGCGAAAGUGUGGGGAGCGAACAGG